rnacentral:tRNA from 2 species
GCCUUUGUAGCUCAGUGGUAGAGCACACCCUUGGUAAGGGUGAGGUCACGGGUUCAAUCCCCGUCAAAGGCU